rnacentral:tRNA from 1 species
CCCCGCUUAGCUCAACGGCAGAGCAUUCGGCUGUAGCCCGAAAGGUUCCCUGUUCAAAUCAGGGAGCGGGGA